rnacentral:rRNA from 1 species
AAGUCCCGCAACGAGCGCAACCCCUAUCCUUACUUGCCAGCGCUUCGGGCGGGAACUUUAAGGAGACUGCCGGUGAUAAACCGGAGGAAGGUGGGGACGACGUCAAGUCAUCAUGGCCCUUACGGGAUGGGCUACACACGUGCUACAAUGGCGUAUACAGAGGGCAGCGAGACCGCGAGGUGGAGCGAAUCCCAGAAAGUACGUCGUAGUCCGGAUUGGAGUCUGCAACUCGACUCCAUGAAGUCGGAAUCGCUAGUAAUCGUGAAUCAGAAUGUCACGGUGAAUACGUUCCCGGGCCUU